ensembl:lncRNA
GUUGUGAUGAAAGUGAUUAAAAACCCCAUUCAAAGCUAACUAAGAAAAGAAAAGAAAAGACUUCCUCGUGGUCCCGUGAUUAAGGCUUUGUGCUCCCAAUGCAGGGAGUCCAUGUUCGAUCACUACUCAGAAAACUCAAUCCCACGUGCCACAAUUAAGAACCCACAUGAUGCAGUGCAGCCAAAUAAAUUAAAAAAGCAAAAGAAAAGGUAAGCCUGACUUUAGGCAGAGCUGGGCUCAGAGAGGUAGGAGAUGUACGAGAAUUUGGUGUGUUUAACUCACUCUGCACCUCUCAGCUCUGUUUUAUUCUAAGAAUUUUUUCACAUGGAGCAAAGGAGUCCUAUAUAUAGACACAGGAGCCAGAAGAAUUCCAGUUUCCCACGUUUCACAGCACCUGUGAUCCUAAGAGGCCUGGUUUCUGCCAGCACCUGUGUCAAUUCCUGAAAAAGGACUCUGUGUGUCUCAUCCCCAAACCAGUCAUUCCGGCCACGGAGAUGCAGUAUUGUUACUGACCAGGCUGGGGACACCGUGGCUGCCCAACCCCAAGAGCCAAGGUGAGGCGAGCUUUCAGUUUCCAGAGCCACAGAGACUGAGAAGGAGCAAGGAGUCAUUUCCCAAACAGAUGGCAGGCAGACAAAAAUAACAGAGCAUAUCCAGCUACUUCCUCUCCAUAAGAUCCUCAUGGACUGAUUUUGAUCAUGGAAAGAGUCUCUGAAAUCAGCCCCCUCUGAUCUCUGCCUCCUGGUAUUACAUUGUUCUAUGAUCCCCUCCCUUCCACGUGGGCUGGAUUGAGUGACUCACUUCUAGAGAAGACAAUCUGGUGGAGGCGAUGGUGUCAGUUCUGAGACUGGGUGAUGAAGGACUGCAGAUUCCAUCUUGGUGGCCCCAACUUUUGCUGCCUAUCUCUUGCCUGGUUCCCUUGGGGAAGCUGGCGACCAUGUUGUCAGUCAGCCCCUAUGCAGAGGCUCAGGUUACCUAAGAACCUCUCCCUGAUGAAAAGCCUAAAUAAUCUCCAAGGAAAAAAGAAAGAGGAGAGUCCAAUAUCAAAAGAAUGUUUUGUCGAAGCCAAUUUUCUUUAGCAACAGUUUUACAAUCAAAAUAAAGAUAUUUUAAAAUGUAUAAAUCCACACUCCUGGGUAUAAACACCAGACUGAUAUGGCUCCAUUAAAACAUCAAGCUGUAGCCUCUGUAAACUGUGUUGGUAAUAGAGAUGGGUUGAUUAACUUCAAUUCAAGUACGCAUACCUGCUACUAUUUCCAGAAGUUAAUUGCUACUCUUGGGCAUUUUAAACUUAUGUAUAUAGUGUUGAGUGGGAGUUUCCUGUGAUGAUUGCCCUAAUAUUUCACUGAAUUCUAAUUAGCAGCUGAUUACCAUUCCUCCUGUCACCACGUAACCCCAAUUGCUGCUGUAACUUUAUUUUUUCAAAUACAACAGAAAGUCUGUCCCUAAGUUGUGUCCAAUUCUUUUGUGACCCCAUGGACUAUCACCCGCCAGGCUCCUCUGUUCAUGGGAUUUCCCAGGCAAGAAUACUGGAGUGGGUUGCCGUUUCCUUCUCCAGUGCUCAAACCUGGGUCUCCUGCUUGGCAGGUGGAUUCUUUACUAUCUGAGCCACCAAGGAAUCUCCACAACAGAGGGAGGUUCCAACAAGUUCUGCAGGGGACAAAUUUCAUUUGCUGUGAUUGCUGUAAGAUGUAGCUG